AUUAAACGCUGGCGGCAUGCCUUACACAUGCAAGUCGAACGGUAGCGCGGGGCAACCUGGCGACGAGUGGCGAACGGGUGAGUAAAGCAUCGGAACGUGCCCUGGAAUGGGGGAUAACGUAGCGAAAGUUACGCUAAUACCGCAUAUUCUGUGAGCAGGAAAGCAGGGGAUCGCAAGACCUUGCGUUCUGGGAGCGGCCGAUGUCGGAUUAGCUAGUUGGUGGGGUAAAAGCCUACCAAGGCGACGAUCCGUAGCGGGUCUGAGAGGAUGAUCCGCCACACUGGGACUGAGACACGGCCCAGACUCCUACGGGAGGCAGCAGUGGGGAAUUUUGGACAAUGGGCGGAAGCCUGAUCCAGCCAUGCCGCGUGAGUGAAGAAGGCCUGG
rnacentral:rRNA from 1 species